GUAAAUGCUCCUCAAUGGCAGCGCUGGGGGAGGGCAUCACGCAUGUGUUCCUCUGCUCAGAAACAUUUCUGCUUUGGAGGAAGGGCAGUAUCGCGCAUGCGCCUAAGGAUGCAGGAUAAAUUAUUCACAUUAAACUGACUGACAACAGCGAUUUACAAGCUUUC